rnacentral:rRNA from 1 species
GGCGGGACACGUGGUAUCCUGUCUGAAUAUGGGGGGACCAUCCUCCAAGGCUAAAUACUCCUGACUGACCGAUAGUGAACCAGUACCGUGAGGGAAAGGCGAAAAGAACCCCGGCGAGGGGAGUGAAAAAGAACCUGAAACCGUGUACGUACAAGCAGUGGGAGCCUCUUUAUGGGGUGACUGCGUACCUUUUGUAUAAUGGGUCAGCGACUUAUAUUCUGUAGCAAGGUUAACCGUAUAGGGGAGCCGAAGGGAAACCGAGUCUUAACUGGGCGUUAAGUUGCAGGGUAUAGACCCGAAACCCGGUGAUCUAGCCAUGGGCAGGUUGAAGGUUGGGUAACACUAACUGGAGGACCGAACCGACUAAUGUUGAAAAAUUAGCGGAUGACCUGUGGCUGGGGGUGAAAGGCCAAUCAAACCGGGAGAUAGCUGGUUCUC